GAAAGGCGAAACGUAAUGUGAAUCGCAACUAACAGUGAAUCAUCGAAUCUUUGAACGCAGGCCGCGCUUUGCAUAUCACACGUGUUAUCGCAAGGCAUUUACGUAUGAGUGUCAGCCCAAUAUACAUUCGGUUUAAUGGUAUUUUAUAUUUACUAUUGAAUCCACACGCGUACAUCAAUUUUUGAUGUAUGCAUAUAACAAAUUUUAAUGUCUGGCCUCAUAUGUGAAAGAUUACCCGCUGGAUUUAAGC
rnacentral:misc_RNA from 1 species